rnacentral:lncRNA from 1 species
GGCCAUAGAAUAUGGGACUGCCAUCAGGUGGAGGAACUUCCUAGAAGGAUUGCACUUUCAAGAAGAACCAUCAACACCCAAGAACUUUCUAUACGACAUUUACUUAGGAAUUUACAAAAACAUGAUUGGUUUGCUCAACAAGUUAAGAAGAUUUUCACCCAGAAAAACUUCCUUCGUCACACUUAACACUAGCCACCCACUCCUUGUAGCAAGAAGCAGCUGGGUAAAAAAUGAAACACAUCUACUCUAUGCUUAGUUUAAAUAAAAAAAUAAAAGAACAGAGGUGUAUGUAUGUCUCAUGGCCAGUCCCGAAAGGUAAUGGCAGUGAUGCAGCUUCUCCAGGCGAUGGAAUAUGAGACCAUCAUCAGGUGGAGGAACUUCAAUGGGUCGAUUUUUCUUUUGAAAUAUGAUUAUCGUAAAAUGAUCCUAAAUAGGUAUUAUAAAUGAAUGUCAGACUU